UACCCAAAAGCAAUAUAACAGGGAGAAAGUACAUACUGGAAAAAGGAAAAAGGCAGAUUAAGAAGGAAACAAAGCAGUGGCUAAAAGGAAAGAAUACAUAAGUUCAGCAGUAAACUAAGCUCCAGAUACAGCAAAAGGCAAUAAUGUGCUAUUCAUCUUAUUCACUACCACAACAAAAAGCAAAAGAAAAAUGUAAAAAAAUAAGUAAAAAUAUGACAUUCAUCUUAUAUGAUUUCCAUCUUUAUUGUUGAAUCUUUUUGCAAAGCAUGUUAAUAAAAUAGCAUCAACAUCACUCUAAAUUUUGAAACAAAAGCCACCGAUGUUCUAAAAAUGUACAAAAAUAAGCAAACAAAAAAAACACAAAAAAGAGUUCCCUCCCCCUCACUGCCGCUUCCCUCCGUCAAAUAACAUCACGUGCUUCCGCACAUCCUCGGCCUCGUCGCCGCUGCCGGCAGCCAUCGCGCCAUCCACGGUGGCGUCUCAUCCCUUUCUCUUCCACCCACAAACGUGUCCAGGGGAGGACGCGAGCCCAUCAGUUCGUGAAGCAGCCGUCCAGCCUUCCAGGCGCCACCGGUGGCCUCCAGGCCGCUGCCAUGGCAGCCGCAGCCCCCAUGGGCUUCCUAUUUACUCAAGUUAGAUAGAUAAUGGGCCUGCCCAUCCUAUGUUUUUUUUAUC